GCUCAGAUAGCUCAGUCAGUAGAGCACGAGACCCUAAAUCUCAGGGUUGUGAGUUCAAGCCCCAUGUUGGACA